rnacentral:rRNA from 2 species
GGUUAAAACUCAAAUGAAUUGACGGGGGCCCGCACAAGCGGUGGAGCAUGUGGUUUAAUUCGAUGCAACGCGAAGAACCUUACCAUCCCUUGACAUCCAGUGAAUUUUCCAGAGAUGGAUUAGUGCCUUCGGGAACACUGAGACAGGUGCUGCAUGGCUGUCGUCAGCUCGUGUUGUGAGAUGUUGGGUUAAGUCCCGCAACGAGCGCAACCCUUAUCCUUAGUUGCCAGCACAUAAUGGUGGGAACUCUGGGGAGACUGCCGGUGAUAAACCGGAGGAAGGUGGGGACGACGUCAAGUCAUCAUGGCCCUUACGGGAUGGGCUACACACGUGCUACAAUGGCGCAUACAAAGGGCAGCGAACCUGCGAAGGUAAGCGAAUCUCAUAAAGUGCGUCGUAGUCCGGAUUGGAGUCUGCAACUCGACUCCAUGAAGUCGGAAUCGCUAGUAAUCGUGGAUCAGAAUGCCACGGUGAAUACGUUCCCGGGCCUUGUACACACCGCCCGUCACACCA